GUAGUAUUCCCUCCGUCCCAAAAUUCUUGUCUUACAUUUGUUUAGAUAUGGAUGUAUCUAGCACUAAAAUGUAACUAGAUACAUCCGUAUUUAGACAAAUUUAAGACAAGAAUUUUGGGACGGAGGGAGUACUAA
rnacentral:pre_miRNA from 1 species